rnacentral:rRNA from 1 species
GCUUUCCUACGGGACGCAGCAGUGGGGAAUAUUGCGCAAUGGGGGAAACCCUGACGCAGCAACGCCGCGUGAGUGAAGAAGGCCUUCGGGUUGUAAAGCUCUUUAAUCAGGGACGAAGAAUGACGGUACCUGAAGAAUAAGCUCCGGCUAACUACGUGCCAGCAGCCGCGGUAAUACGUAGGGAGCAAGCGUUAUCCGGAAUUACUGGGUGUAAAGGGAGCGUAGACGGUGAUGCAAGUCUGGAGUGAAAGGCGGGGGCCAAACCCCCGGACUGCUCUGGAAACUGUGUAACUUGAGUGCAGGAG